rnacentral:rRNA from 1 species
GGAGGAUGCGAGCGUUAUCCGGAUUUAUUGGGUUUAAAGGGAGCGUAGGCCGGAGAUUAAGCGUGUUGUGAAAUGUAGACGCUCAACGUCUGAAUUGCAGCGCGAACUGGUUUCCUUGAGUACGUAGGAAGUUGGCGGAAUUCGUGGUGUAGCGGUGAAAUGCUUAGAUAUCACGAAGAACUCCGAUUGCGAAGGCAGCUGACUGUAUCGUAACUGACGCUGAAGCUCGAAAGUGUGGGUAU